CGUUCGCCAGCACUGACCGAAACGUCAUUCCGAUAAAGGCAGAAGCAAAUUCGUUCCCGGAGUCAAGAGGUGAAAAUUGUGUCUGCGUCAAACUUUUCCAAAACCUCUGUCGAUCGCUUUCCGAAGCAGCUCGUUAACUCUUCAACGCUUUAACUCUCCUCGUAACCACCCCAAACUAAACCAGAAUGCCGGCAGCAGCACCCCCCGCAGAGAAUGGGGCAGCCGUCCCAAAGACCGAGCUGCAGGAGCUCCAAAUGAAACAGCAGCAGGUGGUCGAUGAGUCUCUGGACAGUACCCGCCGUAUGCUGGCACUAUGUGAGGAGAGCAAGGAAGCCGGGAUUCGAACCCUGGUGGCCCUUGACGAUCAGGGAGAACAACUGGACCGAAUCGAGGAGGGCAUGGACCAGAUCAAUGCCGACAUGCGUGAGGCUGAAAAGAAUCUGAGCGGCAUGGAAAAAUGCUGCGGUAUCUGUGUCUUACCGUGCAACAAGAGUGCAUCCUUCAAAGAGGACGACGGUACCUGGAAGGGCAACGAUGACGGCAAGGUGGUAAACAACCAGCCCCAGCGAGUGAUGGACGAUCGCAACGGAUUGGGCCCGCAGGCUGGCUACAUCGGAAGGAUCACGAACGACGCCCGGGAAGAUGAGAUGGAGGAGAACAUGGGCCAGGUGAACACGAUGAUCGGUAAUCUGCGAAACAUGGCGCUCGAUAUGGGCUCCGAGCUGGAGAACCAGAACAGACAGAUCGACAGAAUCAAUCGCAAGGGCGGAUCAAAUGAGGACAGGAUAAAGGCGGCCAAUGAAAAAGCGCACUCGCUUCUCAAAUAAAAAGGGUACCGAGUAUAUAUAUAGCAGUGCAUAUAUACAAUAUACACACCUCUAUCUAUACAUAUAUAUACAUAUACUUGUAUGGUUAUCGUUAUUAUUUUACCUCCUCCAUUUCGGAUAUCGAAACGAACACAGACGAACAAAUGGAGAUUCCAACGCCACCAGGAUAGCGGCUGCUAACGAACGGGCUCACGAUCUGCUGAAGUAAGCUGUUUACACACAACCCAACUCACUCGAAGGCGGUGUAACCGUUGCGAUGGAUGGAUGUUAGACGUCACAGACAACGCGGGCGGGCAGGAACUGAACAGUGUAAACUUGGUUGGUUUUUGUUCUCGUUACUGAUGAUGUGCAGUUUUGUUCGCAGCUGGAAAGUGCGACCGCCAACCCACGGCAGGUGCGCUUGAGAAUAACCACGAAAUCCACCUAUUGAGUUUGAGUUUUACAGCAAAGCGGGGGUUCGAUCAGUGGACAUGAAAACAUAUACACAACACACACACAUAAACACACACAGGAGCAAUUGUAUGGUGGGAAGGAAAACUCUUUCAACCGGACGUUAGACUGCUUCUCGCAUUUAAAUGGGGUGUAAUAUGGCAAGCGCGGCAAGCGAGAACACAGGCAAGGAAUCAAAAAUGUGUAUGCGUGUGAAUCAGCGCCACCGGCUUGCUGGAUUAGUGUAAGCGAAACGCUUUAGGCUUAAGCAAGGAUAAUUGAGGCAUCUGGCGUAAACGGAGCAGCGCGUGAAUUUACACCGCUACAAACAUACACACACACACGUACCCCCUCUUACAUUACAGCGAAGACACGGCGCAGGACACGAGUAUAGCAGGAGGCGCAGCUAACAGCGCAAACAGCAGGAGCGAAGAAAGAAAAUGUUACAACGAUACUCUUAGGUUUCAUUAGGUUGUGCAGUUUUGCGUUUAGGUUCCUUUAGACAUACGCACACUCAUACACCCGCGCCCCCACACAUACUCACACACACACACAUCUCUGUGUAUGAUUUUAUUGAUUUUCCAUCUUCUGUAGGCUACCGGGACCAAAGUAUCCUGUCCUUGCGUUCCACCACCGUUCUUCAUGCGUGCGUUUUUAACUCGUUGUUGAAGGAGGGAAAGAUAGAGAGAGAGAGAGAGAGAGAGGGUGCAUUGCGAGCGAUCACGCAGCAGCACGAUCGUUCUCGUUGUUCGCCACUGAAGGUGGCAACGGUGUAGGUUAAUCAUGCUUGUUUUAGCUCACAGUAGGAUAGGAUAAAAAUCUGUUUCCCCCUUCCUUCCCGUUCGUUUCUUACAUGCCCAACGGGUUGGCCAGUUUUCUUUUUGCUGUCCCCGUGUGUUGUAGAACGCGUGAGAUGCGUCUGUCUUUUGUGUGUGUGUGUGUAAUGUGCCGACCCCGAAGCGAUGAUGAGAUCCUGGUUUGGAUCAUUUACAUACUUCGUUUCGUUAGUAGUGCAUUUGAAGCGUGUUAUAGUAGGUGGGUAUAUGCUUCCCAUAGUCCAUUGUUACGGCUGUAUCUUUUUGCUUUUAGGGCAUUUAACAACGGCUACGGCACGAAGCAGACAGCUGAAUAUAGAGCUACCUUCGCUUGUUUGAGUAACUGAACCUAAGCACACACGCGCAGUGGUUUGAGUGGUUCCCUUUUUCCUCCCACCGAGACAAAGCAACAGCACUUUUACACCCAGUCGCGAGAUGCAUCGAACCAUAUCAUCAUUCGAUGUGGGGAUGCAGCAGAAGUGCGCUUUUGGAUGAAAGUUGCAACGAAAAGCUCGAACCACCACCUGUUUGUUCGAACCCGUGAUACAGAGAAUUCGGUUCGCCUCACUCACUCACUCACUCUUCGUGUCUCUAGCCGUUUGUCCAGCGUUUGGGGCGUCAAACGCCACAGAGGACAAAACAGUGUUUUUAAUUCGUUUGUUAACCUCGUGAACAUAAUUGCUUCUAAUAUACGCUAGCUAAACCUGAAGGCGUUACAUAGUGUUACAUAAAGUAAAGCGUAAUUGCAUUCGCUAACGGCCAGCGUGUAGUGCGCUUUCUGUUCGCCAUUCGCUAGCAAAGAGGGUAGACUUGAUCAGAAGCUGGAACAGCGAACCCAGCGGUGCAUUGGGUGGUAGCAUAAGUAUGCAUUUACUUUGCGCCGUUUGAAUUUGAUCAUAGUGUUGGUAGCUUAUUUUGAAACGUUCUCAUUGCGAACCAUAUGCAUUUGACUAUUUCUAGCGACUUUGGCCAUAGAUGGCCACCAAUUGUCCGAUCAAUCUUGUAACGUAGUUCCCAGCACUCACGCACACACACACACACACAUACACAGAGAGUGUACUAGUGUACGAGCAAGCCACAGGCAUUUAGGGCAAACUAAUCUCAACUCUCCUCCAACCCUAAGGAGGAAGGGUCUCGCAAACAAAACGCAAAGACAAUUUCCAAAACCGGACGCGGAACAGUUGGCGCGGUGGGUUGUGUAGGCCUAUUUACCUGCCACCCCAUUACAAAUCGUCCCAAGAUAGGAACGGAACAAGAAGAAGAAGAAAAAAACAACAGUGAAAGUGAUUUAUUUUCCUGAUAUGACGGACGCGCACUGUCCGGGGACUAGUUUGCAAGCAAUUUUUAUCUCGAUAUACAGCUUCAAUCUCAAUGAAAUAAGUAACAAACAAACUUACAGAAGAAAGAGAAAAAAAUACACACAUACAAAAAUAUUCCAAAGCUACCCCAAGCGUGUGUGUGUGUAAGCAAUGGGAAGAAGUGCAUAAGACGGUACAGAAACCAGUCACAAAAAAAAAACAUAAAACAAAAAAAGGUCGGAACAGUAAAAACGGGGGCAAAUGAAAUUACUAAACCUUAAAGGCAAUGCGUACUUUAAUAAUAAAUAUAAAUAUACAAACUUAUUAUACAUUAUUAAUGAAAACAUUAUUUACUUAGCAAACAAAGAGAGCGAGUAAAUGUGCAAUGGACACGUUUACAUCAUAUCAGGCGAGCAGAAAGAAGUAAUACAAAACAUACACACUCACAUACAAGGAACACGGAAAGAAAAUUUACACACACACACACACACACACACACACACCCUAAAGGCAUUGGAAAACCAAGGGAAGAAGGGGGAAAAACAAACCAAACACCGAAGUGAAUUGUAUCGCAAAGCAAAAGCUAAUAUAAUAAGCAAAACAUGUGUGUGUGUGUGUUGGACAAAAAGCAUAAGCGCACGCACGCAAGUGAUACGCAAUGCUUCUGCGCUGCCGUGUGAGCCGAAUGGAGUGCGCGAUGAAAGAUGAUAAAGGUUGCAAUAUUAUAUUGAGGUAUCUCACCGAUUGGAGGGGAAAACAAGUUCGAUUAAUUACAAUGGAAGAAAAACGCAAAAGCGAAAAACAAAAAAAAAACAUUAAUCCAAGGCUAUAUGUAACGAGCAGGAUGAGGAGGACAGACAAUGGGCAGAGCGGUCCAGCAAGAAGUCAGGAAAAAGAUGGAAGCGUGAAGAAAAGUGAAGAAACUUUAUCAUAUACCAAUUCUGCUGGGCUUAAUACUAAGAGACGGCGCGACACACUGCGAACACACUACUGAGAACAUAAAACAUCCAUACACACACACACACACACAAACAAGAAGACACGCGUUCAAGUAUAUACACUCAUUAUUACGUUUGAACAAAUGACGUUGAUUGAAUAGAUUCAUCAGCAAUAAUAAACAAUUGUGAUAAUACAAUACAUACAAGAAGACGGAGACGGAGGAAGGAGGAAACCGCAAAAGCAUAAAAAGAAGGCAUAAGGGCCCGUGAUGGGAGCAGGAAGGAGGAAUUAUGAAGCAAUCGAAUGAAUGUAAAAGCCGUAGUAAUGAUGAUUGGAUGCUAGCAGCAUAUGUUUGUUUGACACACACACAACAUUGCAGAAUAUUGAAUGAGAAGCGGAGAAGAAAGUGCUGCGAGAAUCGUAUGGAAUGGAAAAUGAAGACUCACACACAGACACAGUUUCGGUAAGCCAGUGACGCAACUGCUUUACACCCCGUUCGCGGGCAGUCUGAAGGGCUGUGGUACCUAAGAAUGCAAAUGGUUUGUAAUGCGCAGGAAGAAAGCACGUGGAGCUCUUCCAGGAGCACCACACGUUACUGUUACCACUGAAGGAUGCAAUCACUGGAUCUUUUCUUCCACCAUAACUUCAAGACUUCACACGCUCCCUCUAUCGCAAAACACUCUCUUCCACUGGUACCUUCUACCUUUCCCGGGUAGAGGGAUCUUCAAUCUUCCUUCCAUCCAUUACGGUAUAGCGAGCAGCAUAUGCUGGUUGAUCAGCACGUAUAUUGAUCACAAACGAUCGUGCGAUCUCGGCACCUAUUCUUGCAAUGUUGAGCUACUAGCGUGAACAAUGAUAUGUCUAGCUAAAUGAUACACAAAUUCCGAACCGUGAGAAAAUAUGUGUGUGAAAGAGAAAGAGAGAGGGAGAGAGAGGGCGAUUAGCUCCUUGGCUCCUUCAAGCAAGGCGUUUGGCAAUGAUGAUGGGAAAAACGAGCGAACACGAACCAGGUGACAAAAGUGGCACGACACAAACUUACAACCACCAACACUAGAACAAGAUCAACAAAGCAGUAAAAGCAUCUCUUUCUCACGCUCUAACUCUUAGCUAUCCCUAGCGAUUGAUACCCAACCCAAUGAUUGGCCAUUAGGGGAAAGUAAAACAAAAACAAAAAAACUCUACCAUACCAUCUCUUGUUGUCUUUUAAAACAAAACAAAAAGCUCUACGUGUGUAUAAAACUACAAGUCAAAAGGUAAAGACAAAACUCCAAACUAUUGCCAUUAAUUCUGCGCAAAUAAGUAACUACUAAGCAUACACACAAACACAUCCACAUCUAGGCAGUAGCUGCAGAGAAGGGAUUGGAGUACGAAAGCAAGUAAAGCUAGCAAGUAAAACGCUAAACGUUUCUCGUUCUGUUGUGAUUCUGAAAUUAUUUUGUUGUACGCUUUUCUUACAAGCUCUCACAUACACACUCCAUUUCACUACUUGAGGCCACCGAAGCGAAGGCAAUUUUAAACAUCCUUUUCAAUGCCCUAGCACUGUUUCACGCCAGGGCGUGAAUAUUUCACCUGCAGAGAGGGACUGAAAUGAGCGGAAGAGGUGCAACAAAGUGCAAUGGGAAGGGGAAGGAGUGCAGGAAGAUUAGGAGAGGAGGGUGGCGAACACAUCACACCGAGCAAGCAUAUAUGCACUGGAUAUCCCAUCAUGGAUGGAUGGAUAAUGGAUGAACGGUGAUGAGAAAGCAAAAGCAAAAGUUUACGAAAUGUUAUCUAGUUAAGUUUGGCUACAAACAAAGAAAUUACUCUUAGCGUAAAUGAAUUCGAAAAUUUGUAAAUAGAAUAUACAUAAACACACAGUCGUACACACCUACAUAUUACACACAUACAGACCAUACACAACACGUACACACACACACACUACAGGCUGCAACAUGCGGACGGAGCACAGGUGACCGAACCACGGGAGCAUUGGAUCCUGGGGAUUUUGCCCAUUGUUGGCAUUGCUUCUAGAAACUUUGCUCCAACUCGUGUGAGGUCUUGUUCGGUGUGUGUGUGUGUGUGGUGGUCGGCCAAAAAAAAAACGGCUAUUGAAUAUCUGCUAACCAAAAACCCCCAAGGUGAAUGAAAACGGCAAUUGCAUUGCAUUCAAAAGAAACAAACUGUGAGAUUAGCCCUCCAAACGUCUCGUACGGUGAUGUUGAUGAUGGGCUCUGAUGAUGGUGUUGAUGCGUUAUGUGACACAAUUUACACACACACAUAAACACACACACCGUUAUGCAUGGUGCAUUGAACUCUUGCGUCGACAAUGUGUUGUACAUUUGCGUUGUUCGUUUCCUUCCCUUGUAUUAAAUGCGCCUCCCUUUUGAUUGGCAUUCGCGAUUUUAUCAAUCUCCGUAACGAUCUGCGUGUUGUUGUUGUUGUUGAUGUUGUCGCGCGUGUUCGGGUGUGUGUGUUGCAACUUGCAAUUCAGUUCACCAUGCGCCUCCAUGCAUAUGCUUUUCGUGAGCGCGCACGUGCGCAACUCGAAGCAAGCUAACAAGCUACAAGGCGCGUUAGAGGAUGCUCGAGAAAACGAGGGGGGUGGAAAAACCAUGCGAAAUUAACGGCCAAAAACGAUAUAAUAGGACAUAAUUCCUAAAAAAACACACACACACUCACACACAAAGAUACUAUUAUGCACAUAUGGAUGUGGCAUAUAAAACAGCUUGUUGAUUCGUUUUUAAAUAUGUUUUGCGCUAGUUUAACGUGUACACACUUCCUUGCCCUCCCUCCGAGAUGGUUUAGCAGUAGUAAGAAGUAACUGUAAGCGGCAACAGUAUUUUGUUCGGAUUGUUUUCUCGCUUCAUUGGCCACGCUGUAGAUCGCAGCCAUGUUGGUAGUGGGAUCGCCACGUUUCCUAGCAACAGGACGAAGGUGCCACGUGCGAUGGCAGUGGGCGUGGCAAAAGCUGUUUGUACAUAUACAUACGUAUGAUGGUGUGGAUUCGAGCGAGCAGAAGUUCGUAAGAAUCCCAAUCACAAACACAAGACACACAAAUACAAAAUCAGACCCAGUGAUAAUUCGGCAUUUUAAUUAGAGACCUGAGUGUUUUAAAACUCAUAAUUACAACACAUUCUACCCCUUUGUCUGUGUUUUAGAAUCCAUUGCACGUAAUGCGUUAUACUAAUCACCCACAGCAGCUAGUGAUUCAAUUGGUUCGCUUUUCACACUCUGCACUGAAAAAAGAAACAUCACUUUUCACACCUACUAAUCAAAUACACACACACACAGAUACACAUUUACACACAAGUAUGUAUUUACUGAUAAGGAGCAGGACAGCGCGCAACGGGCAGUGGUAGGGAAAGGACCGGUAGGCGAAAAGGGACAGGGGGGAGAAUAUGCGAACAAAAUGCUUUUUUGGUACAUUUCGUAUAAAAAAUGGUAUAAAAGAAACAAUUUCCAACAAACCCAUCUUACCGAACACUAAUUCAAAAUUAAUAAUCCUACAGCAAGCGAACAAACAAACAAACAAACAAACAAAACCCAACAAACAAAAUGCGUAUAAACUAGCUGCAGAUUAAUUGAAACUGUAUUACGGUUAAUACUUUUUAAAAAUGUAUUUCAAGUAUCCUGUAAAAAUAAAAUGAUUAUAAUGGACCUAA